GUUUUUUAUUUUGCUUUCCUGAAAUCCAUUUUUGCUUUUCCAAUACAUUCUUUUUAAAAGUAUUUCAUAGACUUUGAUGGAGACAUUGGAUACCAACUUGGUUUGCUUUUGGUCUGGUAUGUUUGUUUAAAUGUUUAAACAUAGGUAUCAAGAUCCUUAGAGGAUCCUAAAGAGAAGUCUUCAGAGACUUGCAGAAAAACCUUAGAUGAUGAAUCGGCAUUGGGUGACAUUCCGGGAUCAUAUUGAUGCUGUGUGACUCCAUGGAGAUUUCGCAAAGUCAUGGAGAUGUGUUGUGAAACAAGUUGGUUGUGUUGUGAAAACAGUUGGUGAAGACAUGCUGAAGUCAUGGAGAUCAUUCCACCUUAUAUGUAACCAAUCACUUUUCGGCUACUAUAUGUUGUGUUGGAGAUGGUUCAACCUUAUAUAUUGUGGAGAUGCACUUCGUGUUGCUUGUGUAGAUUGUAGGCUAGGGGUUUUGUGUGCAAACACUUGUUGUAGGUUAGCCAUUUUUUUGUGUCGAUGUUGUAACCUUUUGUACUGUUAUGUGGAGGGCUGGUGCAGCUAAUUAUAUGUAAUUGUUAUUAUAUGAGCAGGUUGUUAUGCA